GACGAACGCAGGCGGCGCGCUUAACACAUGCAAGUCGAGCGAGAACCGGGGCUUCGGCCCCGGGGACAGCGGCGAACGGGUGAGUAACACGUGAGUAACCUGCCCUCGGCACCGGAAUAGCCCGGGGAAACCCGGAUUAAUGCCGGAUGGCCCCUCUGCCCUGCGGGGCGGCGGGAAAAGGUAGCUUCGGCCUCCGGCCGAGGAUGGGCUCGCGGCGGAUUAGCUUGUUGGCGGGGUAACGGCCCACCAAGGCGACGAUCCGUAGCUGGUCCGAGGGGCCGAUCAGCAACACUGGGACUGCGACACGGCCCAGACUCCUACGGGAGGCAGCAGUGGGGAAUCUUGCGCAAUGGGCGAAAGCCUGACGCAGCGACGCCGCGUGCGGGAAGAAGGCCCUCGGGUUGUAAACCGCUUUCAGGAGGGACGAAGCCACUCGGGUGAACAGCCCAGAGGGUGACGGUACCUCCAGAAGAAGCCCCGGCUAACUACGUGCCAGCAGCCGCCGCGGUAA
rnacentral:rRNA from 1 species